CCUUGUGUCAUCAGCUUUAUAAUUUAAUGUUUUAUUUAAAUUAACUUAUUUUUUAAAGUUAAGUGAUUAUGACCUAAGCAAUAGAAUCUGAAACUCUGGGUGAUAGUUAUGCAUAUAUUUUUUCAAUACAUAUGGACGUAAAUCAAUGACUAUUGAAAUAGAAAAAUUUUUUUCUGGAUACCCUUUAAAAUCACCUCCCUUUGAGAAAUUCUGAACUACCUGGUUGGGGAAACUGAGGCUCUGUGAUGGGAUGUGAUGUCCCUAAGCGUCUCAGAGUCCGUGGUCCAGCUGACCGUGGUCCAGGCCAUCUGCCUGCCCCCUGAAUACCUGCAUUGUUGCCUCCUGGCUUCAGGGUUGCACCUGGCAAGAGAAGACACAAGGCCACCCCAGAGCCAUGUGCCCUGCCCGGGAAUCAGAGCCCAGAGAGAUGACCCCGGGAACUCUGCUGGCUGAGGGGCUGCUGUGUGCCAGGCCCUGGGGCAGAGCUGGGACAUCAGCUUCUUCCUGCCUUUGGACUCGAACUGAAACAUCAGCUCUCCCUGGACCCUGAGGCCGCUGGCCUUUGCAUGGAAAC
rnacentral:lncRNA from 1 species